CGCAUCUGUGCAUGCAGCAUAUCAAUAAGCGGAGGAAAAGAAACUAACAAGGAUUCCCUUAGUAACGGCGAGUGAAGCGGGAAGAGCUCAAAUUUGAAAUCUUCAAGGUUUUACCUUGACGAAUUGUAGUUUAAAGAAGUGUUUUCUGUUGAAGUUUUGGUAAAAGUUCUUUGGAAUGGGACAUCAUAGAGGGUGAGAAUCCCGUAUUUGACCAUUAUUUUCAGCUGUGUGAUACACUUUCAAAGAGUCGGAUUGUUUGGGAAUGCAGUCCAAAAUGGGUGGUAAAUUUCAUCUAAAGCUAAAUAUUGGCGAGAGGACCGAUAGCGAACAAGUACCGUGAGGGAAAGAUGAAAAGAACUUUGAAAAGAGAGUUAAACAGUACGUGAAAUUGUCAAAAGGGAAGCGUUUGACACCAGUGUUGUUUUCUCGAAAAUCAAUUAAAAAGAGUUAGAUUUUGUUGUGUAUUGACCUUAACAGCUUGCAUUUCAAUUUUCUUGCUUUUUUUAAUGCACUUUUCGUUUAACAAGUCAACAUCAGUUUCUUUUGUUGUAAGAAGGUCGUUGGAAGGUGGCUUUCCUUUCGGAGAAAGUGUUUAUAGCCUUUGACUCCUGCAAUCGGAGAGACUGAGGUCUGCAGCGUAGAUCCUUCGGGGUUAGAUACAUUUGUGCUAAGCUACUAGCUUUUCAUAGACAACUUGUUGACUAUGAUUAGUCUUGUAGCUUACUCGCUUAUGCUAUUUUACCUACGCUUAGGAUGUUGACGCGCGUGUGUGCGUG
rnacentral:rRNA from 1 species